UGUGUGAGCAGUAAAAUGAGAUGUAUGGAUAGCACACUCUAAUAUAAUUAGCUCAAGUUUUUCAAUACAUUACAUUUCCUAAUUUAUUUUAUGUUUUUUGGAUAAAAACCCCAACAAAAAAUGAAUGUUUAAAAAAAAAUGAAAAGCAAAAAUUAUGGGAAAAAAAAAGGAAAGAGAAUUGGGGGGUUUGUCGAAAGCGAGGUUCACCGUUUCGCCGGCUCGGCAAAAAGAUGAGUGUUGGGUACCUGUAGCAAUCUGCGAGUUCAAAAUCUAAAAUUUAAGGAUGGUGUUUGUAGCUGCAGAUUCUCUGCAUUUCCUUCUCUUCGGAUCAAAACAAAUCAACCCGAUUUCAAGGUUUCGGUUGCGGUUUUUACCCUCAAUCUGUCUCAGUCCCUCCGCCUUGAACAGUUUUACCUUCGAAGAAUCGCUUCGGUUAUCGGUUUUGCUAUUCAGUUAGAUUCAUUGGACGUUGCACAUUAAUCGACCUGUUGAUGUCUCCAAAACCCAGAUCACCCUGACGGCUUCAUUUGACGCCGAAAAGUUGUCGGAUUCCGUCGCCUGCGGUUAUGUAGUGUAAGAGCACUGUGGUGGGGUAACUCACGUUAUUUUUUUAAAAUAAGUGAGGGCAAUACAGGCAUGCUGAAAAUUUCAUUUCAAACGAGGCACCUGGAAUACUGAUGGCGAAACGAUCCAGAACAUCGCCUAGUACCAUAGACGACGAUACAGCAGCAGCUGCAACAACAACAACCGCAAGCAAUGACCUAGAACUCUACGCUGCUGUAACUUCCCUCUGUUAAGGCGCUGCCAAACAGAUGGCGCAGGUGAUGGAGCGGCUUUCUCAAGCCGGCCGCCUCAUCGCGGGCAUUAGGCUUCGCGCCAACCGCCUCCGCCAAGCCCUAUUCUUGGCCACUCAACCUCACCAGAGCUCCAAGCCUCUCCACUUGUUCCUUAACGAGGACGCCUCCAUGCGCCAACACCUCCUCUACCUCUGCUCCGUCGGAAGCCAGCUGGAAGAAUCUGGAGUUCUAAACGAGUCGCUGCGAUCACGGAGCAAUUCUUGGGGGCUACAUAUGCCAUUGGUUUGUCCCGACAGAGCUGUUGUUGCGUAUGCUUGGAAGCGGCAGCUCGCCGGCCAAGCUGGCGCGUCUGCUAUUGACAGAACCAGGUUGGUCUUAAGUUCAUAGACUAUAUCCUUUACAGUAGGAUUCUCUGCCUUCUUUUCUUCCCUCCCUUUCCCUCCCCUCCUAUUUGAACGAUUACGGUUAAGCUACGUCAACAUCUUAUAUUAAUUUUUCAUAACAAGAGAAAAACAAAAUAAGACAACGUAAAAGGAGGGGAUGGAAAGGGUUUGAAAAAAGAGGGAGAGAAUCCUAGUCCAUCAUUUACUUGAAAAAUUAUGAUUAAAGGAAAGCAUUUUUUUUGGAAAUUUCCAAAGCAUACAUUACAUUACAUUGUUGGAGAACAAUUCAGAAAAUAAAUAAAAUGACAGAAAUUGAAAUACUAUUUCUUUAUUAACAAAAUAUACUUGUAAUACAGAAUAAAAUAACAAAAAUAAUUACAUGAAUUAAUGGCGCGUUUACUAAUCCGUAAUCAAAUUGAGAGGAAUUAGAUUGAUGGGGAAUUAGAUUGAGGAGGAAAUGAAAUGAGGUGGAAUAAGAAUCAGAUUCCUGUUGAAGAAGUUUACUAAAACUGUCUGGAAUCGGAGUGAGAAUGAUGUCGAGUCCAAAGAGGUUGUUUACUAAUUUACUUCAAUUGGAAUGAAAACUAGGUUGAUUACUAUAUUGCCCUUACAUAAAUAAAUUAUUUUCAUACUAAUUAAUUAAAUUAAAUUCUUAAUUAAAUUUAUAUAAUAAAAUUCAUCUAUAUAAACAUAUAUAAAUAGGUUUUAUUUAUUUAUUAAAAGAUGGCAAUAAUGAUGUUGAGUCCAUAUAAGUUUACUAAUUCAUUUCAAUCGGAAUGAAAACUAAGUUGAUGACUAAAUUGUCCUUACAUAAAUAAAUUACUUUCAUACUUUUUAAUUAUAUUAAAUUCUUAAUUAAAUUUAUAUAAUAAAAUUAUCUAUAUAAAAAUAUACAAAUAGGUUUUUUUUAUUUAUUAAAAAUGUCAUAAUGAGUGUCAAAUGAAGGGCAAUGUUGGGAUAAUAAGAAACAAGUGAGGGCAUAAUAGGAAUAAAAGACCCAUUCCCGAUUCCCUUACCCUCAGGGAAUUCAAAUACCUCACAAAAUUAGGGAAUCCCGUUCCUCCAAUUUCAGGAAUUGAAUUCCUUGUAUCGUGUGGGCUCCACCACUUUUUUGAUUCCUUAAUAUUUAGUAAACACUGGAAUGUUAGGUUUUGAACUUACACAUAUCAUGAUAAGGAUACCUAAACGUGGGUUCAAACCAAUUAGGAGUCAUGGCCAUGUCAAUAACUGAUCUCCUAGAAUUAAGGGAUAUGGGACAUGAUAAGGAUGCUUACAUUGCUCCACGUCAAAAGAAACUGAUUGCUGCAGUUCAUAGCAGUUGCUAUCCAAUCAUCUUGAUAGAUGGAAGUUGGAGAAGUUCAGUUCGAUAUAAUAAAGGAUUCCCUGCUCACAAAGAACACGUUCUGUAAUCAGGGUUCUAUCACCAUUGGAACAUAAGGUCUUGAGUGAGUAGAAGAAUUCUUAUGUAUUACUAGUAAACACAGCCUGCACCAGGUUUUUCAGUUGGUGUUGCUGCUGUCUUUGUUGCUGGGCAGAUGGGUUCUCAGGUAUGGUCGAUCUCUUUUUAAUGCCAACUCUUGUAAUGUUAUAUGUAAGAUAUGUUGUUUGUGAUCCUUGUUGAAGACUAACGAUUUAUAGUUCCUACAUUUGGUAUCAGAGCAAGGUUAGUCUACUUGGAUUCAAACUUAAUUAUCUUAACAUUUAUACCUAUAUCAUUAACUGGGAAUAUUUGCUGUACGGGGAAGAGAAUUGCCUCAACCUAGCCCCUAAUGUUAGCAUCGGUGAUUGUUGCCUGGAUUCAUGACAACAUCUAAUUCCCUACAUCAUGGCUACCUUGGUUAAUGAUGGUUUCAUUUAUUAUUUUGAGGCAUUUAUUUAUGACUAUUUUGAUUUCUUGGUUCAUGGUUGCCUCGAUAUAUUGUUGCCUAAUUCCUAAUUACAAGUUCCUGUAAUGUUUCUUGAUUGUUUAUAUAUGCAAGUACAAGUAAAAAGAUGAUUAGGUCACCAAACUUGUGAAACCCAAUCUCUGCUUAGAGAACCUGCAUGUUGCUUUCAUCUUGGUUGAAAAGACACAGAAUUAGGCAAAUUCUACAAAGAAGGGCAAUUUUAAGUGGUUUGUUUUUGUGCAAUGUUGGAUGCUUGUAAAUUUUUCUCUUCAUAAGCAUGCGUAUUUUUUAUUUAUUUCAAUUUUCUUCCUUGAUCUCCUUGGGUGCAUGCAAGUAAAGUUGAAACUAAACUAUUUUCAUGCACUGGUUGAUGGUGUGUAAAUGAACAUUGCGAGAAUGUAUCUUGGUAAAAUUAUACUGCAGUGUGUGUGCUAUCUGCUGCUGUGAUUCUUCUGGUAAAGUUUCCUCGUUAAACAACAGAUUGAGUGCAUGCUCUGGGACAUGACUAAUCAAAUGAUGUUUUUCAUUAGUUUAUUAGUAUGAUUAUAUCCCAUUUAUUUAAAAAUGGAAGAUGAAGUGGCUUUAUGAUCUGCAUAUGCAACGUGUUUGGCUGCAGUGAGAAUACAUUUUUCAUCUAUUUCUGUUGUGAUCAAUAUAAUGAUCCGUAUAUUGUUGGAACUAUAUCACUUGGAGUUUUAUCUUUUUUGCUACUAUACUAACAGUUUGGUUUGCAGUAAAUGUUAAGAACAAUUAAGAACAUUGUUCGAUUACAGUAAAGGAAGAAUGGUUGUGGUUUAAAACUCAAGAAAUGUUCACAUUCUUUUCCAAAGAAGGGGAUGUAUAAAUUGUUGGUGGUUUUAAUCAGUGUAUGGCAUCAUGUAGAUCAGGCCAUAUUCUUGUCCAAAGACUUGUAAUAAUUGCAUGAUAAGAUCCUUGAAUGAUGGCUAUACAAUGAAGGUCAAUGUCAGUUUAUAUCUCUUGCCCAAAGGUGUGAUAUAAACAUGCAUUUGACAAUCACUAAUGAUUGUUUCAAGUUUUCCAUGUCUUCUUAAGAUAGUCCUUACAGUUUUCCAGAUGAUUUCAACUGGCGUAUCAGGAUAGAUUUAAGGACUGGGAAUCUUCACGUUUUGAGAUUGUGCCGCUGCUGUGUUAUGCGGGCAGAAGCAGAUGCUGAGGUAUCACUCUAAUGCUUUCAUUCUUUCCCAUGUGUGCUGUCAGAAGCAUUCCCAUGUUGUUACUGUUAAAGUAUAACCUUCAGACUUCUUUCCCAUGUGUGUUACACAAGUCUUUCCCAUGCGUGCUGUCAGAAGACAGCAGAUGGUGCUGCCAUAUACUUGAUAUAAUUGCAUGAAAAGAUCUUGUAAUGGUGGGUGUACAAUAAAGAAUGAAUGGUUGCUUAUAGUUUUAACUGAAGGUAUGUUAUAAGUAUGCAUUUCAACGAUUUUUCCAUGUCUUCUUCAGUGAAUACCUCGGCUAUGAUCCUGUGCUAUUUGUUUAUUGUGAUAAGAAAUCCUAAUGCUUUAUGCAUGUAUAAAAUUCGUAUGAUGAUUGCUACAGUUUUUCUAUAGCAUGAUUAAUUGUUCUAAUGCCAUAUGCUGCUGCCAAAGUUUUAUUCACAGCAGGAAAAGGAAUAUAUGGUUUCGAGAUUAAAACACUGUAAGCUGCGCUUUUAUCAUUCUAGAAUUGGUAGUCAUGGUUGUUUCAGAUUCACAAACGAUGAUCGAUAUCUGAUUGAAAUCUGGUAUAUGAUUGAAAUCAGUUUCUUGAUAUCUAAAUAUGUAUUGGCAAUAGGCAUUGGUGUAGAUUGUAGCUUAGUAAAUUUAUGUUGAACUUGAAUAUGGCUGGUAGGUUGCAAGGUUCCUGAUACAUGUGAAAAUAAUCUAUAAUUAUAACUUGUGUAGAAAAUUGGUUUUUUAUUUGACGUUUGGAUGAUUUCUACAAUCAAAUUGAAAUGCUAAAGUUUUAUGCAGGUUUUCAACACUAAUAAUCUCUAUACUUGAACAGAUGUUUGAAUAAAUCUUCACCAAAGUGGGAAUUAUUAGGAAAUUUUGUUCAAGGGAUUCUUAAUUGAAUUUUGUGAGUGACAGUUCAUUGCAUAAGACCAAUCUUUCAAAAGAAAGAAAUAGUGAAUGGCUUGAACUGUGAUAUAGCGUGUAGUAUUUUAUAAAAGUUUUAAGUCAACUUUGUUCCCUUGUCCAAAGGCAUGAUUUGAGUUGUAACUUGAAAUUUUUGUGAAAUAGCUCUGCAAAUAAGGAUGCAUGAUUAAGAUUGCAUAACUGAUAUUUUGUCUCUUGCCCAAAGUUGUUACAUAAAAUUGCAUGUCAUGGUUAUUCACUCAAUGACUAGUUUAUCUGCAUAAGGCAGAAUUGAGGCUCGGUUGGAAGCAUUAGGCAAACUCAUUGGAUUUUGAUAAAGGAUCGAAUAUGAUUGUAUCAUAUUUGAUGUUGUUUCAUAUAUAUAUGCAAUGUUUGAAAUGAUGAAUUACUAAUCAAACCGAGGUUUAAUGAGCUGGUUAUUGCAAAAGGCUUAUCAUUGGAGCCAAACAAUGGCUUGACAAUGAUGUUUGGUUUGAUUAGUGGGAGUGUAAAUAAUAGACAUGUUAAAUAUGUUUGUUUGCUCUGUUAAUAUCAUGCAUGAGUAGUUUUGAGGGAUGUGAUUUCAGAGUGUUAGUACAAAUUAUGAAGUACUAAUUUUCUGGGGUUCAACUUUUGAAGCUAUUCAUGGCAAAUAUGAGUUGUUGUAUGGUUGACAUGACUUGAGUGAUCACAAAGGGAUUGGCUUAAUACGUUGGACAAGGAACAUGAUAAGUGGAAGUUCAAAAGUGGGAGAAUGUUAGGUUUUGAACUUACACAUAUCAUGAUAAGGAUACCUAAACGUGGGUUCAAACCAAUUAGGAGUCAUGGCCAUGUCAAUAACUGAUCUCCUAGAAUUAAGGGAUAUGGGAUGUGAUAAGGAUGCUUACAUUGCUCCACGUCAAAAGAAACUGAUAACUGCAGUUCAUAGCAGUUGCUAUCCAAUCAUCUUGAUAGAUGGAAGUUGGAGAAGUUCAGUUCGAUAUAAUAAAGGAUUCCUGCUCACAAAGAACACAUUCUGUAAUCAGGGUUCUAUCACCAUUGGAACAUAAGGUCUUGAGUGAGUAGAAGAAUGCUUAUGUGUUACCAGUAAACAUAGCUUGCACUAGGUUUUUCAGUUGGUGUUGCUGCUGUCUUUGUUGCUCGGCAGAUGGGUUCUCAGGUAUGGUCGAUCUCUUUUUAAUGCCAACUCUUGUCAUGUUAUAUGUAAGAUAUGUUGUUUGUGAUCCUUGUUGAAGACUAACCAUUUAUAGUUCCUACACGGAAUUCUCCGUAAUCGGAAUUCAAUUCCCUUUCCUUAUUCCGAUUACCCUUACGUAAACAUGCCAUAAAUGAUACUAACUUGAUUAAAUCAUAGAUAGAGGCUAGCGUAAAAGCUAUGUCCUUCGAACAAUAUUUCUGUCCUACUCUUGUGCUUGUGAUUCUACGACAUUUGCCUGAUCAAGAUACAACCAUCUAAUUCUACAACCUGCAUCGGAUUAUAGAAUUCUGACGAAUAGCUUUGUGUGUUUGCCCUCUGUAAGGUUUUGUAUGGGAGAGAUGGGAAAGGAAAAUAUGUUAUAUGAUGGAAAUGAGACUUCAGUUAUAUAGGUUCUUUCAUACCUCUUCAAAUACUUUUUGUUUGUAUUUGAAACCACACAAUUUUUUCCAAAUAGUUGUGUCUAUUAAUCAAAACGUUUUUUAAUUAAUUUAAUUAAAAAACUUAAUUCAAAAUUAAAAUUAAAGAACUUUGAUUAAUUUUAACUUCUUAAGCCUCGAGGCUCAAGGCUUUUGUCUUGAUUAAUAAUAUUAAUAUUGUAUAAUCAUCAAACUUAAUCCACACAAUUAGUGGCUCAAACCUCAAUUCUCAUUCUAAGUGGUCCAAUACCUAACCAUUAAUAAAGGUGACUAACCCUAAAUAAAGGCUUCUAGGGAACUUGAGUUCCCCGAUGUGGGACUAAAGGAGGCUUAAAACUCCUACAUACAUAAGCUUCUGCUCCAAAAAAAAAAAAAGUAACAGAUUUUGAAUAGUUUUUCACUAAAGAGGAUGUGGAGCAAAUACAAGUUUCGUAAUUUCGUAUCGGGUUUCGAAUCUCAUUCAUUGAUGAUUAUAUUCUUACUGGUUGUGUAUCUUGCCAUUUCUUGAAUUGUGUUAUUCAAUGUUCUAGGUCAGCUGUCAAGGCCUUCAUUGAAUUGUGUUAUUCAAAGUUCUUGGUUAGCUCUCAGAAAAAAUAUAUCUUGCUUGCAGGACUCUUCAAUAUUUGGCAGCUGGGAGGCCUUCCCUUCCUUGAUGAAAAUCAGGCAGCUUAGGAGUCUUUUCAUGCUUGCCGCUGGUCUUGGAUUCUAAGAUCGGCCAACAUGAUAGCGGACCGUUUAGCGUCGAAUAGGUAUACAUAGAUGUGCAACUUCACAUGCGCUAACUGUCCCCCAUCUUUGUUGAUUCGUGUUCUGAACAAUGACGGUUUACCAUGUCCUCCUCAAAUUUCCUGAAAUUGGUAGUGUAGGGGGCAACGUUUUAGCAUUUGUUGCAGCGUAAUGUCCCCUACUUAUAUCUUCAUGAGCAUAUCUUUAAGUUCCAUAAGGCUCUACAGACAUGAAGAGCUUGGUGGGCUCCAUGUGUUCUUACACUGAUCCAAGGAGUUAAUUUUAUGAUUAACUAGUAUAUGUCCACAUACAAAGUGUGAAAUUUUUUAUCUUAGUGAGAGUGGGGAGAGAGGUUUAUUUUUUAAUUUUUAUUUAAUUUUUUUAAAAUUAAAAUGUUAAAAUCACUUGUAGGUGAAACUUAAACAAAAAAAUAGCAAAAUUUUGUUUUGUAAAAUUACAUUACUGCUCUUAAUCAUUUUGUUGUAAUAUAAGACUAAAUAGUAUUUUCACCAU